UACAGAGGGGGCAAGCGUUAUUCGGAAUUAUUGGGCGUAAAGGGCGCGUAGGCGGCCUGACAAGUGGAAGGUGAAAUCCCUCGGCUUAACCGAGGAACUGCCCUCCAAACUGUUUGGCUUGAGACCGGGAGAGGUGAGUGGAAUUCCCAGUGUAGCGGUGAAAUGCGUAGAUAUUGGGAGGAACACCAGUGGCGAAGGCGGCUCACUGGACCGGUACUGACGCUGAGGCGCGAAGGCCAGGGGAGCAAACAGG
rnacentral:rRNA from 1 species